rnacentral:lncRNA from 1 species
UGUGGAACCUAGAGUUAACUAAACCUAGGUGAGUGGCAUUCGAACAUAGUGUAAAGAAACACAUUGAUGCAGUGAACUUACGGAUAGGUGGGUUUUCCCUAGAAGUGGCAUAUUGAGAUGUUACCCGCUUCAUUUAUUUCUUUUUGUCUUAAACUUUGCUGGAAAUGUAAAUCAACUAGGAUUCGAACGUGAGACCUCGAGUACCAACAACCAAGCCUUUUGCCACUUGCGCUAGCGACUAUUAGUUAUGUAUAUUUUAAUUUUUUAUAUUUUAAGUCUUCUAUUUCAAAAUUUCAAAAUUUUAAAUUUCAAAAUUUUAAAUUUAGAUACUAAAUAUAAAUUUUUAAUUUUGAAAUAUGAAAUUUAAGUUUCAAAAUUAAUAGUUUUAAAUUUGAAAUUUGAAAUUUAAAAUAAAUUUAAAAAUUGAAAAUUUAAAAUUUGAAAUUGAUNAUAUAUUAAUAAUUAUAUAUUAAGUAGUAAUUAUAUUUAGUAACAAGUGCUGCUAGUUUAUUAUAUUUAGCAGUAUUCAAUAAUUUAUGCUGCUAAUUUAUCCUAUUUUGCAACAAUAAUAGUAAAUUGCUGCUAAAUAAGUAAAUCUAGCGGCAAUUAUCAAGUAUUGCUGCUAAAUAUAUUAAUUGACAUGAUUUAAAUAAAUAUUGCAGAGAAAAUAUUGCGGCAUUUAGCAAUAAGUGCUGCUACUUUAUUACAUUUAGUGUCAUUUUUUAUAAAAUACUGGAAACUUCGGCGGCAUUUACUAAUUUAUAUUGCUAAUUUAAUCUAUUUUGCAACAUUACUAGUAAAUUGCUGCUAAAUUAUUUAAUUUAUCGGCACUUAUCAAGUAAUGCUGUUAAAUAUAUUAAUUAGUGUUAUUUAAAUAAAUACUGCAAAGUAAAUACCGCUAAAUCAUAAAUUUGUAGUAGUGGGUAGCGCCCUACCCCCAGAGACCAGAGAUAGUAGUACCCCGAGUCAACAUAGCUUAGGGGUGUAGUGAAAGAAAAGAACAAAAAUGUAUUAAAGAAAUAAAUGAUGUAAUAACUUGAUCGCAUUUGGAAGUUGAUUGUAAGAAAAAAUGAGAUGUAAAAUAUAUGAUUGUGAAUGCUUGUAAUAGCUUAGGAUAUGUUUAUAUUGUUUGAUACCUUCCAUUAUGCAAUCAGUGUACGAAUAUUGUUCCUGUUUGGAACCUAUUGUAUUGUACUGUUUGUUGAGCCUUGAACGUAUAGGGGAGAUUCUGUCCGCAGUACAGAGGAAACCCUGUCCGUUCGGCGAUGUCGGCGGUCCGAACCCGGCCAAAUAGGU